CGCCGCGUGAGCGAUGAAGGCCUUCGGGUCGUAAAGCUCUGUUGUUAGGGAAGAACAAGUGCUAGUUGAAUAAGCUGGCACCUUGACGGUACCUAACCAGAAAGCCACGGCUAACUACGUGCCAGCAGCCGCGGUAAUACGUAGGUGGCAAGCGUUGUCCGGAAUUAUUGGGCGUAAAGCGCGCGCAGGCGGUUUCUUAAGUCUGGGGUGAAAGCCCCCGGCUCAACCGGGGAGGGUCAUUGGAAACUGGGAAACUUGAGUGCAGAAGAGGAAAGUGGAAUUCCAAGUGUAGCGGUGAAAUGCGUAGAGAUUUGGAGGAACACCAGUGGCGAAGGCGACUUUCUGGUCUGUAACUGACGCUGAGGCGCGAAAGCGUGGGGAGCAAACAGGAUUAGAUACCCUGGUAGUCCACGCUGUAAACGAUGAGUGCUAAGUGUUAGAGGGUUUCCGCCCUUUAGUGCUGAAGUUAACGCAUUAAGCACUCCGCCUGGGGAGUACGGUCGCAAGACUGAAACUCAAAGGAAUUGACGGGGGCCCGCACAAGUGGUGGAGCAUGUGGUUUAAUUCGAAGCAACGCGAAGAACCUUACCAGGUCUUGACAUCCUCUGACAACCCUAGAGAUAGGGCUUUCCCUUCGGGGACAGAGUGACAGGUGGUGCAUGGUUGUCGUCAGCUCGUGUCGUGAGAUGUUGGGUUAAGUCCCGCAACGAGCGCAACCCUUGAUCUUAGUUGCCAGCAUUAGUUGGGCACUCUAAGGUGACUGCCGGUGACAAACCGGAGGAAGGUGGGGAUGACUCAAAUCAUCAUGCCCCUUAUGACCUGGGCUACACACGUGCUACAAUGGAUAGUACAAAGGGUUGGCAGAC
rnacentral:rRNA from 1 species